GCACAUCCCCUGCACCACGUUUCAGGUCAGUAUCGAAGGUCUGUGCCCUCGCCCAGCGCUGUGCCCAUCCCUGCAGGGCAGUGCUGGGGUCACACCGCACCACCACCCCCGCACCGCUCCGACCGACAGCGGGGCCCUGCGGACUCCUUCCCGACUUUUUGAGGGAAUCAUCUCUCAGUCGAAAAGGAAAACAAAAGGUGCAUCAUCUGCUCCGAUUUGGGAAGAUGAGCAAGGUUGGUGAAGCUGGAAAACGUGCAUGGGACUGAGUCUAAGGCUUUACACUGAGUCUGAGAAAAAACCAAAUCCUACACUUCAGUGAACUGUGUUUCAGGUGCAGUGAGGAGCAGGUGAGGAGCACCCUGAGGUCUGGAUUUCCUGGGGGGGGUUCCUCAGGACCCCACAUCCUGCUCUUUGCCCCAAAACCUCCGCCCAGCCCCAGUCAGGGAUGGCAAAAACAGCAUCCCAGGGUUGCUCUCAGUUUGAGGGUGAGGAGGAUCCAAAGGACACGGGCACCUUUGAUGCAAAGCACUUGAGACACGAAAAAAUACGUGGGAAAACCCUUUUAGCUCCGGGUUCCAAACACUGUUCUCCAGACAUUUGCCAUUACCAGAGAAUCAAUUUUGUCAUCAACCCAUUUCUUCCUGUUUGAUCCAAAUUCCUCUCAGAAAUGAAGGAUUUAUAACUUCCUUUCCCUCAAUGCCCAUUAUCAUUUAUAUCCCUGACAGCUCCAGUUGUUAAAAGCAGUACUUGAGGUUUUUUUCCAAUAAAGGCCUCCCAUCUUUCUGACAUUUAUUACGACUUUAUUAGUUCUCCUCCCUUCUCAGUGAAGCCAUUUCAUUCAGUGGGGGAGUGUCUGAAGCCCAGGUUUUUCAUUACCUCUAACUUACCAUAAUUUUAGGCCAGGAGUGGCUUUGUUUUGGCUGCUUGUUAAAAACAGCAUAAAAACACCUGAACUCAGUUAAAGCUGAGGAAACUCAUUUGUGACAGAAAGGGGACUUUAAGGCACUUUUUUCCCCCCCCAGGUGAUAUUUCCACCUUCUCAGAGUGGAGAGAAGGUGGGUUAGUGUUGAUUUUAGAACACCAAUCACCCUAAAAGGUCGAGUGAACUGGUUGUGUGAUACAGAAAUCUUUUUGCCUCUCUAUAUAUGGACACAGAGUCCUCAGUGGGGUCCUUAACUGAGAAUUAUUAAGAAGUCCCUUCCAACCCAAGCCCCUCUGUGAUUCUCUCAGUAUCCUAUGAUAAAAAUGCAUCCCAUUUCCACAUUUUUAAUAUUUUCUUGCAGUUCUCACUAAGGUUUUGGGUGUCAGAUAAAGAUCUGCCACUCUGCCAAACCCCAGCAGAAUUCUGAUCACAUCUGAUCCCUCCCUCCUCUUGUUCACAGCAGAACUUCCAUGAUAAAUGAAGACACUGUUUUAGCAAAACUCAAUUCUCUUUGUCAACACAAUUCAUCUUUCCCCUUCAAGUGAUCUGUUUUAAAAUUCACAUUUCUGCUGCCAGCAUCAUCCUGGCAAUUGUUUGGGGUGGUUUGGGUUUUUUUUUCCUCCUUAAUCUGUGCUUCCAAUCUCUGUCUCCAGGAAGGGCAAAUUGCACUUCAAAAUCUUCUCUAGAAACAAUGCUUUGUGAAUAUUGGAACUCACAGACCAAGACAGAAAUUUGUUAUUAGGAAUAAAAAAGUGACUGGAAUUCACGUCAGGAAACUGCCUUUGGGGUUUGAGCCUCUUGGAAACCUCAGAGGCCUUGAGGAGAAAUUCCUGCCUUUUGUGGUCUCAACUCAGAGGAAAAAUAGUGCUUUACAAACCCCUUGAAAAUAAAAUAAACCCAAAAGAAAUGAGGGUCUCAAACAGAAAACACAAAACAGUGCCAGGAGUUUGAUCUGGUGACGUGCAGGUCACGCUUGAAACAACUCAUCAGCCUUGGAACAAAUAAUUCCCCCGGGGAAAAGGGAGGGUGGCAAACCUGGGAAUGUCUGAGUGACUCCCUUGACAGGGAUUGAAGAAGUUUCUCUUCCUUUGAGAAAGCAAAAGGAGUUCUCUGGGUUGCAUUUCUCACUUUUACCUCACGUGGAUAAUUUCAUAUCUGGAACUCACAAGUAAAAUUAUUUAAAAUAAUUGAUAAUUAUUAUAUAAAUUUAUUUAUAUAAUAAAUAUUUAUAUAUUAUAAA